rnacentral:miRNA from 1 species
UACUACCACCUCCUGGCCUUUUUUUUUAAAAAGCACCAAAAAGCCAGGAGGUGGUAGUAC